rnacentral:rRNA from 1 species
GCCAUAAAUCUAGUUCCCCACCCUCACAACCCUCACUAAACCAACCAACCAAAACAUUUGACAUGAUUAGUAGAUGAGAUCGAACAUCACCAUUAGACACGAUAGAAAUAGUACCGCAAGGGAAAGAUAACAUAAUAUUAAGCAUUAAAAAGCAAAGAUUAAACCUUGUACCUUUUGCAUUAUGGUUUAGCAAGCAAUAUCGAGCAAAAAGUCACAUGCUCGAAUCCCCGAAACCAAGUGAGCUACUUCCGAGCAGCACACAGCGCGCAUCCCCCUCUGUAGCAAAAGAGCGGAAAGACUUAGAAGUAGAAGUGAAAAGCCUACCGAACUUGGCAAUAGCUGGUUGCUAAAAAUGAAUAUAAGUUCUACCUUAGCCUAAUAAUCAACCAUCACCUGAAGACUAAGGAAAUUCACUAGGGGUACAGCUCUAGUGAAACGGGAUACAACCCAAAUCCGAGAGGAACCAACCUGGCAUACCCGUAGGCCUUGAAGCAGCCACCCAUAAAACAGCGUUAAAGCGUUAAAUCUACAAUUUCACGAAUACUACACAUCUCCGGAAACAACAUUAAAGCAACUCUAUAUACAUAGAAGAACCUAUGCUAAAACUACUAACAAGAACUACUCUCGAGACAUACCAAUCAGCCAGAAAUAGACACACUACUGGCAGUUAUCAGACCACAAAAGGAAGAGAUAACCAAAUAAACCCAACCUCAACCACACUGUGACCCCAACACAGGCAUGUCACCCACAAACGAAAGAUGAUAAGUUAUAAAAGGAACUCGGCAACCUCUGACUCCAACUGUUUACCAAAAACAUAACCUUUAGCCAAAACAAGUAUUAAAGGCAACGCCUGCCCAGUGAGAGCUUCUUAAACGGCCGCGGUACCCUAACCGUGCAAAGGUAGCAUAAUCAUUUGCCCACUAAUUAUGGGCUGGUAUGAAAGGCUACAUGAGAGUCAAACUGUCUCUUAUAACCCAUCAGUGAAACUGAUCUUACAGUCCAAAAGCUGUAAUAAAUCUAUAAGACGAGAAGACCCUGUGAAAUUUCAAUUACCCCUCCUCAUCUCCAGGAGGGUACUUUUAGUUGGGGCGACUUUGGAACAAACACAACUUCCAAACACGAAGUGCACUACCACUUUAACCAAGGCCAACACGCCUAAUCAUACGACCCAGUAAAUCUGAUAAAUGGACCAAACUACUCCAGGGAUAACAGCGCUAUCUUCUUCAAGAGCCCAUAUCAAAAAGAAGGUUUACGACCUCGAUGUUGGAUCAGGGCACCCAAGCGGCGCAGCCACUGCUAAAGGUUCGUUUGUUCAACGAUUAACAGC